GAUGAACGCUGGCGGCGUGCCUAAUACAUGCCAGUCAAGCGAACAGACGAGGAGCUUGCUCCUCUGACGUUAGCGGCGGACGGGUGAGUAACACGUGGAUAACCUACCUAUAAGACUGGGAUAACUUCGGGAAACCGGAGCUAAUACCGGAUAAUAUAUUGAACCGCAUGGUUCAAUAGUGAAAGACGGUUUUGCUGUCACUUAUAGAUGGAUCCGCGUCGCAUUAGCUAGUUGGUAAGGUAACGGCUUACCAAGGCGACGAUGCGUAGCCGACCUGAGAGGGUGAUCGGCCACCCUGGAACUGAGACACGGUCCAGACUCCUACGGGAGGCAGCAGUAGGGAAUCGUCCGCAAUGGGCGAAAGCCUGACGGAGCAACGCCGCGUGAGUGAUGAAGGUCUUCGGAUCGUAAAACUCUGUUAUUAGGGAAGAACAAAUGUGUAAGUAACUAUGCACGUCUUGACGGUACCUAAUCAGAAAGCCACGGCUAACUACGUG
rnacentral:rRNA from 1 species